GACGAACGCUGGCGGCGUGCUUAAUACAUGCAAGUCGAGCGGAAAGGCCCUGCUUUUGUGGGUUUCUCGAGUGGCGCACGCGUGAGUAACACGUGUGUAAACUCCCCUUGUCUUUCGGAUAACUUCUGGAAACUGGGGAUAUUAUCCGAUAGGAGCUCCUGCUGCACGGUGUGGGAUGGAAAGAUUCGGCGGUUGUGGAUAUACUCGCGGCUUAUCAGCUUGUUUGUGGGGUAGUGGCUUACCAAGGGUGUGACGGGUAGGCCGCCUGAGAGGGUGAACGGCCACAAUGGGACUGAGAUACGGAGCAGACGCCUACGGGAGGCAGCGGUGGGGAGUAUUGCGCAGUGGGCGGAAGCCUGAGACAGCGACGCCGCGUGCGGGAUGACCGCCUUCGGGUUAUGAACAGCUGUCGACGGUGCCGAAGCGAGAGUGACGGUAAUUAGUAAAGAAGCACCGGCUAACUACGUG
rnacentral:rRNA from 1 species